rnacentral:tRNA from 51 species
GGCGGAUGUAGCCAAGUGGAUCA